GCACUGCUGAGGAGUCUUACAACAGAACGAAACGGCUGUCUAGUGC
rfam:Schistosoma margrebowiei strain Zambia genome assembly, scaffold: SMRZ_scaffold0002859